rnacentral:lncRNA from 1 species
GUUGUCGAUUUAUUAUUUCCAACAACCCCUCCUUUCCUUUUCACAUAUACUACUGUACUUGUAAACUUGCUAAAUAGCAUCUGAGUUGGCAUGUAGUGGUUCAAUAUUUAUUAUAUUGCAAUAAACAAAGUUUGAAGUCACUGUUUUGCAAUAUCAUCCCAUGAUUGAUGAUUAUUGCUUAUUCAUGUGUAGAUCAUGAAAUUCAUGGUUCACACAACUUAUUAUGUAGUAGCGUUGGAGAUGGGAUAGUUGUUGAUAUGCUUUACGACUUAUUGAGUUGCUAGAAACUCUUACGAACACCAUUCUUCUCUCGUUGUGAUUUUUUGUGAGGUAGUUGCUAUACAUGGAGUUAUUGUAGCCAUCAUUCUACAAAUAAAGUUAGAGAGUCUUCAUCCAAGAUGUAUGCUUAGAGUAGACUACGCAAUCUUUGCUUAUGGAGUAAUUGUGGACUUCGUAAAUCUCGUCUGUGGGCAAGUAUUAGUUUUCAGCUCUCUAUCAUAUUGUUAAAAAAGUUCCCUAUUCACACUGAGAGAUUCGACUCUGAUUUUUCUUUUUUCCCUCUUCCAACAUGUUUCAUGAGUGAAGGCUCUGUGUUGGAAUAAUCGGAAGUAGCUGCGCUUUAUCUAAUGAACAAAACUCGUCACUUUUCGUUAAGAUCCUUGUUAUUGAGAUGAUUGGCAGUGCUCUGGGAUUAUUUGGUGUUAAAGUAGGCAUUAUCAUGUCAGCUCAAGCAACAUGUCCGUCUAAGGCAGCAUGACUCGUAGUCUUGAAUAUGUUAUUGGUUCCACGUGUUUGUAAAUUCUUUUUCAAUUUAUUUUUCCUCCUCG